UAAAUUCUAGAGUUAAUCCUAAAAUAUCUAAACUAUCUUCUAAUCCCUAAACCACACCUUAAUUAACUAUAUCCUAAUUAACUAGACCACACCUAUCAACUACACUGUAAUCUAAUUGAUAUCAGUUAUGCACUACCACACAAAUCCAGCAACAGGAAUGGGCCUGCGAGCAGGAAUGACUCCAGUCCGUCACACAACAUGCUGAAGGAAACAAACAACAGAAACAAAAAAAAAGAGAAAAGAAAAGUGCUUAACAGAUAAGUAGCAACACGUUUUCAACCACCACGACUCCGUUUCACCACGAACCUAGGUUCCAUCCCACGGCCAGAUCAAAACACGGCGGCACCGCUCCUCACGGAGCUCGAUCCCGAGGUUGCUUCAGCGUUCACGACAUCGGUUUAGAACUCGAACACAUUACGGCGAGAAUGAGACCAAUACAUUCAACAUCUAUAUCAGGAUGGCGGAAUAGUCACUCACCAAUUCAUUCGUGCGGAGACGGAGAUGAAGAUGCGGCGGUGUUUACGCGUCACAGAGGUGAGAUCGAACUUCGUCCUUUUCCGUCCGGCUCGAGCGACUUCUUCCUCUUCUGUCCGAUUCGGUUAUCCGUUCGGUGAUUUUGGUGGGGCGAUUUGUAAUAGUCGUUCCGGAUUUGUUAUUGUUUAUGGUGCGGAAUCGGAAUUGGUGUGGUUACGGUUUACGGCGCGGAAUCGGUGUGGUUAGCUUCUGUUUGCAGGAACGGAAAUAGCACGAUGAAGGUUCCGGCGGUUGAGGUGGUGGAUGGCGACGCUACGGAGGAAGCAAAGGGGGAGAAGGGAUCUUUAGCAGAGAAAUGAGGAGAAAAGUUCUGGAAGGUUGAAGAAGAAAAAAAGUUUGUUAGAAAUUUGAGAGAGGAAGAAUCUCCAAGAAGCUUUGAGAGAGAAUUUUGUUCAUGGCUGGCUCACGUUUGGAGCUCGGUUAACGGCGUCGGCAUUGGCUUGCUAAGCUUGUAGCUUGUGGUUCGAAUUGAGUCGCUUGUCUUGAACUGUCUUUGCUGAAAUUUAAUUAUGCAGGAUUUUGGUUCAAUUGUAAUGCAGAAUUUUUAAUGCAGAAUUUUGUUCAUGUAAUGCAGAAUUUUGUUCAUGGUUGGCUCACGUAUGGAGCUUGGUUAACGGCGUCGGCAUUGGCUUGCGUGUGGCUUGAGUUCUUGGAAUUGCAACACCGCUUGUUAUGCUAUGCUGAGCUGCGUUUUACUUCUUGGCUCAGGCUGUAUCGUAGCCUUCGUUCACUAUUCAUGCCGUUUUAGUUUUCUGGUAGCUUUUGGUAGCUUUUGGCUUUUGCGUUUUGGGUUUAAAUGUUCUCUGCAGGUGUGUUGGUAGCAGCUUUUUGAGCUACUCUUUGGCUUAGGUAGCUUGGAUUUGCACUGCUCCUUAUUUGAAUGUGGUAUUGGAAACAAAUGAAGAAAGUUUUACUGCAUUAGAAAUUGGUCACUUAGUUUGGAACUGGAUCAUUGUUAAAUUGUUAAAUUGGAUUUAAUUGGAUAACAAAACUGGUUUAUGGACAAUUGGUUAUGAAUUAA